UGGGGAAUAUUGGACAAUGGGGGCAACCCUGAUCCAGCCAUGCCGCGUGUGUGAAGAAGGCCUUUUGGUUGUAAAGCACUUUAAGCAGGGAGGAGAGGCUAAUGGUUAAUACCCAUUAGAUUAGACGUUACCUGCAGAAUAAGCACCGGCUAACUCUGUGCCAGCAGCCGCGGUAAUACAGAGGGUGCGAGCGUUAAUCGGAAUUACUGGGCGUAAAGCGAGUGUAGGUGGCUCAUUAAGUCACAUGUGAAAUCCCCGGGCUUAACCUGGGAACUGCAUGUGAUACUGGUGGUGCUAGAAUAUGUGAGAGGGAAGUAGAAUUCCCAGGUGUAGCGGUGAAAUGCGUAGAGAUCUGGAGGAAUACCGAUGGCGAAGGCAGCUUCCUGGCAUAAUAUUGACACUGAGAUUCGAAAGCGUGGGUAGCAAACAGGAUUAGAUACCCUGGUAGUCCACGCCGUAAACGAUGUCUACUAGCCGUUGGGGUCCUUGAGACUUUAGUGGCGCAGUUAACGCGAUAAGUAGACCGCCUGGGGAGUACGGCCGCAAGGUUAAAACUUAAAUGAAUUGACGGGUCU
rnacentral:rRNA from 1 species